rnacentral:rRNA from 1 species
AUUGAACGCUGGCGGCAGGCCUAACACAUGCAAGUCGAGCGGAUGAGUGGAGCUUGCUCCAUGAUUCAGCGGUGGACGGGUGAGUAAUGCCUAGGAAUCUGCCUGGUAGUGGGGGACAACGUUUCGAAAGGAACGCUAAUACCGCAUACGUCCUACGGGAGAAAGUGGGGGAUCUUCGGACCUCACGCUAUCAGAUGAGCCUAGGUCGGAUUAGCUAGUUGGUGAGGUAAAGGCUCAGCAAGGCGACGAUCCGUAACUGGUCUGAGAGGAUGGUCAGGCACACUGGAACUGAGACACGGUCCAGACUCCUACGGGAGGCAGCAGUGGGGAAUAUUGGACAAUGGGCGAAAGCCUGAUCCAGCCAUGCCGCGUGUGUGAAGAAGGUCUUCGGAUUGUAAAGCACUUUAAGUUGGGAGGACGGGCAGUAAGUUAAUACCUUGCUGUUUUGACGUUACCAACAGAAUAAGCACCGGCUAACUUCGUGCCAGCCGCCGCAGUAAAAC